rnacentral:lncRNA from 1 species
AUGCUGAAAAUGUUACCAAAUCCAGCCAUUUGCUUGUGUUAGGAUUAGUCUUGGAAGGAUCAUUAGACCUGCAUUUCUGCCAAAUGCAGUUAGGAUUUGCCCAUGCCGAUGCCCAAAUAUAGACCUUGAGUUCAGUGUUGUGUCUACCACGUGCCUUGUCUAAUCCAGAAUGGGCUUGUUCAUCAUGCUUUUCCAGACAUAACAUAAACCACCAGGACAAUUGUAAUUAACACUGAGAAUACUGAAUAACCUUUGGCUAGAGCUAUUUUGGCCGAAUAGUUGAAUCCAGUGGAAUCAGUCAUCUAGGUUUAUGACCCUAGCUGAAGUCUAAUGCCCUCUGUGAUGUCUUUUCAAGCCAAAUCAGUUCUGUGUCCAAAAGUCCUGGGUUGCCCAAGGUUGAAGAUGGACGGUGUGUUAAAGAAGUGGAUGGCAUAUAGAAGCAUGGAUUCUGGACAUGGCUGUGCCACUAAGUACAGAAGUAACAUGAGUGAGAAUAUAGAUCAGCACCCCCUUUCUAAAGAAGAGGAAACACACUUCACAUAA